AUGUUCUACACUUCCCCCUGGCUAAUCAAAAGAGCUUUAGUCCAUGCUAUCAUGUCUCUGUGGAAAUUGUACAGCACUUUCAGAAUGAUUUACUUGGUGCAUAAAGCUUUAGAUCUUAGCUCGUGUGGGGAUGAUCUACCUGCUGGCAGUUGCUAGCAACAACAAUUAGCAAUUUUGGAAAACAAUUUUAGGACUGUCCGCAUUUUAAGGGAUCUACUCAAGCUGG